AACCUUAUGGACCUGCGGGCGUAUACCUGCGGAAGGAUCAUUACAGAGUUGCAAAACUCCCUAAACCAUUGUGAACGUUACCUAAACCGUUGCUUCGGCGGGCGGCCCGGGUCCUUCCCGGCGCCCCUCGGCCCUCGCGGGCGCCCGCCGGAGGUAAACCAAACUAUUGCAUUGUAUGGCCUCUCUGAGUCUUCUGUACUGAAUAAGUCAAAACUUUCAGCAACGGAUCUCAGAUCGGAA
rnacentral:misc_RNA from 1 species